CACGUAGGGGGCGAGCGUUGUCCGGAAUUACUGGGCGUAAAGCGCGCGUAGGCGGAUUAUUAAGUCAGAUGUGAAAACUCUGGGCUCAACCGAGAGGUUGCAUCUGAUACUGGUAAUCUUGAGUGUAGAAGAGGAGAGUGGAAUUCCUAGUGUAGCGGUGAAAUGCGUAGAUAUUAGGAGGAACACCAGUGGCGAAGGCGACUCUCUGGUCUAUAACUGACGCUGAGGCGCGAAAGCGUGGGGAGCAAACAGGAUUAGAUACCCUGGUAGUCCACGCCGUAAACGAUGGGUACUAGGUGUUGGGGGUUUCGACGCCCUCAGUGCCGGAGUUAACGCAAUAAGUACCCCGCCUGGGGAGUACGUUCGCAAGAAUGAA
rnacentral:rRNA from 1 species